GAAGAUGUAGUUCAGUUGGAAGAAUAACUGACUUUUAAUCAGUAGGCCGUGGGUUCAAGUCCCACCAUCUUCA
rnacentral:tRNA from 1 species